AGGCUGGCGCUCUUUAUGUGCGUCCCUCCCGAAGCUGUGGGCUUGAUCUAAGGGGACGACCAUCCUGCGUAGAGGAGGACCCAUCUUCGGUCAAGGGUGUAGGAGUAGCUGUGCUCCUCUGCUAGAACCUCCAAACAAGCUCAAGGUCCAGUCUAUUCACCACGCAGAGAACUCCUGCCAUCAUGGUGAAAGGAGCUCUCUGUUA
rnacentral:snRNA from 1 species